rnacentral:misc_RNA from 1 species
AAAUUGCGAAAAUUAAUGUGAAUUGCAAACUCAGUGAAUCAUCGAGUCUUUGAACGCAUCUUGCGCCUUUGCACUCCAAAGGCAUGCCUGUUUGAGCAUCAUUAUACACAUCAAGCUACGGCUUGGACGUGGGCGUUGACAUUUUAGUCUCGCCUUAAAUUCGUACGUCUCGAGGCUGCGUGGCCCGGGUAUGUUGGCUUUAUUGACUAUUGCCGACUAUACAGCCUGGUGCUAUUAAGCGCUCCUCCAAGGAUGUCAUUGGGAAUUUUAAACUUUGAUCUCAAAUCAGGCAAGACUACCCGCUGAACUUAA